AAAUCGCAUGAAGGAUGGCAGCGGAAAUCCUUUUAUGUAGUCCCGAAGAUUCGGGACUACAUAAAAGAUUGCAGCGAACAGCCUGACGCAGC
rnacentral:sRNA from 1 species